UGCAAGUCGAGCGGUAACAGGCUUCACGUUCCUUGACACACUUGGCCUUGUAGCAAGUGUUCGGAGUCGAGGGAACAGUGAAGCUGCUGACGAGCGGCGGACGGCUGAGUAACGCGUGGGAACGGACCCCAAACUGAGGGAUAACUAGUCGAAAGGUUAGCUAAUACCGCAUGUGGUCUUCGGAUUAAAGGAUUUAUCCGGUUUGGGACUGGCCUGCGUACGAUUAGAUAGUUGGCGGGAUAAUAGCCCACCAAGUCGACGAUCGUUAGACGGUUUGAGAAGAUGAUCAUCCAGACUGGGACUGAGACACGGCCCAGACUCCUACGGGAGGCAGCAGUAGGGAAUCUUUCACAAUGGGCGAAAGCCUGAUGGAAGCAACGCCGCGUGCAGGAUGACGGCCUUCGGGUUGUAAACUGCUUUUAUAUCCGAGAAAUAUGAUGGUAAGAUAUGAAUAAGGACCGGCUAACUACGUGCCAGCAGCGGC
rnacentral:rRNA from 1 species